UUAAUUUUUUUUACUAAUUUUUAUAAUUCCAUCUUUUUUGUUUUUUUGGUCUAGUAUAACUACAUUUUAAUUAUGGGUCAAUACAACACCAAUGAUUCCCUUCAUACAACAUUCAUUAUUAAAAACCCAAUGUUCAGUGAAAAAAAUCCCAACGAGUUCUAUUUUUGGACAAAUCUUGACAUUCAAAAAGAGUUCUUACUACCCUACAAUUCAAUGGCCCAUUAACCUAACACCUAAUUACACAAUUAAUUACCACAAAAUAAAUUAAUAAUUUUCACACGUGAAACGGGACUCUUCCCCUGCUCCAUUUCAAUGUCACAAUCACGCUCACGUGUCGUUCUCUCCUAUUGAAACUCAAAGUCAGCAUAGUAUGCUAAAAAGGUGAACCAGCACGAUAGAACUUCCCAAACAGAAAACAGCAUACCAACAUCCAGAGUUUCACCACUGAUCACAGAAUAACUGAUUUUCGGAAGAAAAUAACCCCAACAAAAACAGCAGAACAACAUUCACACUUUGAACGCCGAUCACAAAAAAAUUGACUUCCAAAACAAAACAAACAUUCAACAAAACACUCUUGUUGAGAUUUUUUUCUUGUUAGAGGAAGAAACCAUUCGGCAUACAAGAAACCUAUGAUCACCAAUAUCCAGCAAUAAUAUCCCAGACAAUAGUAAAUACAAAAAAGCAAUGUAGCAAGUUAUCAAGAACAGGACCAAAAUAGAUAAUCCAACAAAUUACUUCGCACCGCCCUAACAACUUAGCAAAUUAGAUCAUCAUCGUCCCAACAAUUUAGCAAAGUUUCAACUUAACAACUUCACGCACAGAAAAUCACAACAAAAGCAAAAAAAGUUAAAAUGAACCGACUAACAACGACAAAAGAACAACUAGCAAAUCCACAAGUUCUCGAAAAUAGUCAAAAUUAACCAGAAGAAACUAAUGCCAGUGAAAUCAUGAUGCUAACGUAUUAACUUUUCCGCAGACAUACUAUUUGUGCAGCUAAAAUUUCCUAAUUACUAGGAUCUAAUUAUUCUAAUUUCACAUGCAAUCAACUUACUAAGUUUCCAAAAGCUAGCAAUUAUAAAGCCAUCCAGUGACAUGGUUAAACCACCUCAUCAUGCAUGUCGAGCGCAGUAAAAUUAAAACAAAAUAAGAGACUUCACAACUUAACAUCAACGUCAUACAAAAGAGAACAUAUCUUCAGUAUACUUUAGUUCAGUCUAUUGAAAAUAUCCAACCUACUACUGGUUCAAAAACUUACUUAUUGUAAUAGAACUCAGAAGUUGCAGAGUUUGAAGCUGAGAACUCCUCUAGUCCC